GAAGAAGAUGAGGCUGUAGACAAAAAGCCAACUCUACUCAGUGCCCAGGAAGAUACUCCUGACCUUCUCCAUGAGGACAGAUUACAGUAUCUGCAGGAAGAGGGUUCCGGUGUGAUGCAUCAGGAAUGUCAGAUCCAGUCCUGUGAGCUCUCGGUGGCUCAGAAGCCCAGGCCCUCUUCUCCUGCAGUGACAUCCUUGGCAUCACCACCACUCUGCUUUGGCAGUUUCCUAAGCUGUGUCUGCCAGACCUUCUCAAGGUCUAGGAAGCAGAAGCCUCCCAGAAGAAAGGGUAACAACCAGGCUGAGGCAGGAGAGAGAUGAACCCGGUACCUCAGAUGGAAAUGCAGAAAUCACCGUCUUCUGCGUCGCUCACGCUGGGAGCUGCAGACGGGAGCUGUUCCUAUUCGGCCAUCUUGGCUCCUCCCAUAGGACACCUUUCUAAAGUCAGUCAUGCUUUGAUACUUUUAGUUGUCUAAAAAGUGGUUGAUUUCUCAUUUUAAACAGUAUUGAGUUUUCUUGAGCUAAUUGACCGUGAUAAAUGGGUUUUAUUACAUAAAAUUUCAAAUUAUCCAAACUAUAUCUAUAUUUACAUACAUAUUUUCUCCAUUUAAUACAAGAAGCACACUCCCAGGUAAGGCAUCAUGUAUGAAAGUCCUGAGUCAUCGAGCCUGUUAUUAAAAGCUCACCAGAAUGCAGGUAUUCGUGUUGGUAUUAUACUUUAUUAUUGUUAUUACUUAUCAUAAUAAGUGUUUCAGGUUAGUUUUUCUAUCAUAGAAAAACUAUUAGUGGGAGCCUAGUUAGCCAUAUCUUCAGCCCCAUCUACAAUACUGAUUUUCACAUAAAAGUUAUUUGCUAC
rnacentral:lncRNA from 1 species